rnacentral:tRNA from 2 species
GCCCGGGUGGCGGAAUUGGCAGACGCGGAGGAUUCAAAAUCCUCUGGCCGCAAGGUCGUGCGGGUUCAAGUCCCGCCCCGGGCACAA